GCGCCGAGCUAGAGCUGGAGGCGGCGCGGCAGGAACGCCGUGGGGAGGGCUACGCUGGUUGCUUGCUGCAGCGGCGUCUGUGCGAGCUCCCCUGGGGUGCUUUGCGUCUCCAAUCCGGGACCGAAGCCGCCGGCCGUCGCGAGCGGACGGAUCCGCGCCCCGCCUAAGGGACCGGAGGACAUGCGGGAGAGAGAAUGAGCCAGAGGGACACGCUGGUGCAUCUGUUUGCCGGAGGAUGUGGUGGGACAGUGGGAGCUAUUCUGACAUGUCCACUGGAAGUUGUAAAAACGCGGCUGCAGUCAUCUUCUGUGACACUUUAUAUCUCUGAAGUUCAGCUAAACACCAUGGCUGGAGCCAGUGUCAACCGAGUACUCUCUCCUGGACCUCUCCAUUGCCUAAAGGUGAUCUUGGAAAAAGAAGGGCCUCGUUCCUUGUUUAGAGGAUUGGGCCCCAAUUUAGUGGGGGUAGCUCCUUCCAGAGCAAUAUACUUUGCUGCUUAUUCAAACUGCAAGGAAACAUUGAACGGUGUAUUUGAUCCUGAUUCUACCCAGGUACACAUGAUUUCAGCUGCAAUGGCAGGUUUUACUGCAAUCACAGCGACCAACCCCAUUUGGCUUAUAAAGACUCGGUUACAGCUUGAUGCAAGGAACCGUGGGGAAAAACGAAUGGGUGCGUUUGAGUGUGUUCGUAAAGUGUAUCAGAUGGAUGGACUAAGAGGAUUUUAUAGGGGCAUGUCGGCUUCAUAUGCUGGCAUAUCAGAAACUGUUAUUCAUUUUGUUAUUUAUGAAAAUAUUAAGCAAAAACUACUGGAAUAUAAAACUGCUUCAGCGAUGGAAGAGGAUGAAGAGUCUGUGAAAGAAGCAUCAGAUUUUGUGGGAAUGAUGUUGGCUGCUGCCACCUCAAAAACUUGUGCCACAAGUAUAGCAUAUCCACACGAAGUUAUAAGAACAAGACUACGUGAAGAGGGAACAAAAUAUAGAUCUUUUUUUCAGACACUAUCUUUGGUUGUUCAAGAAGAAGGUUAUGGGUCUCUCUACCGCGGUCUAACAACUCAUCUGGUGAGACAGAUUCCAAACACAGCUAUUAUGAUGGCCACCUAUGAGCUGGUGGUCUACCUACUCAAUGGAUAGCAACAUCUGCCUGUCAUUCUAUAAAGAGGGAAGACCAAAAGAUUACAGUGGACCAUGGAAUAUCUAAGCCAGCAUGUGUGGACAGAAGAAAAAUCGUUCAGGAACAUGUAACUAUGCCUAAGUGGAAGUUUGAUUGUAGGAGUAUGAAGGUAGUCAGCACUCUUCAGAGCACUCUUCAGAUUGGUACAUACUUCUAUGAUAAAAUCCUCUCAGAAAAUUGAAUUGAACUUAUGCAGGUGAAAGCAGUAGGUACUGAAAAGACAUCCUCUGAGACUAAUAGAGCGACAGAUAGGACUCCAGUACCUGUUGGCUCGUAGAAAUGAUUACCUGAGUUUCAAAAUCCAAAUGUGAGUAUUAUCAACCCUAUGAUUGUAGGGUACCAGAUAGUGCUUUUAAAUCCAUGGAAAAACUAUUACCAAAGCUUUGUCAUUGUGUAUGUAAGUUUGUGGAACUAACCUUACUAGAUGGGGCACACAGGUAAUUGAUUUGUAACUUCAAAACCACAGCAGAAUAUCAUUAAAUUACCUUACCCUGCCUUUCGUCUCCUAACAAAACCCUAAUGCACACUGUGGAACAGCAUUAUUGUAUUAGGACCAGCAGAGUUUGAGUUGUUAACAGUGAUGAAUGUUUACGCUUAAACUAGAGUAUUAGUAUCUCAGCAUUUUUAGAUUAGUUUUAAAUAAGUAAAAAUGUUGAUUUGAAUUCGAAGGGUUUAAGUGCUAGAAAUUCAUCUGUUCUUUGUUCUUUCAGCAUUCAUUGUUCAUGCCUAGUACUAGGUUGUUUACAUGCUCUUCUGCCCAGACUGUUAGUACUGUAGGGACCUCUUUUGGGCUAAUAAAUAAAAUAGUUCAGCCUUUUCUUCCUCCAGUUAUUGAUCAUGACUUUAACAUUCCUAAGAAUAUAGAUAAUGCUGAAUGAUUUAAAUGAGAAGGAGUUUUAAUAUACAAAAGUAAUGCAGUGUACUUUCUGCCCACUCACAUCUCUUCUCCAUCAUGCCCUUAUAUUUCUCAUAUACACUGACUUUUAUGUGACUCUUUGUAGAAACUGAAAAUUCUAGUUUCAGUUUUUGUGUUAGAUUUUGAAUGUGUACCCCUGCAUAUGUGAACAAUUAAAUUAUGACCUGUCAGUCAUAGCUGAAUAGUCCAUAAGAGUUGAUAUCUUUCGGUUAUUCAUAUGAAGUUUGCUAUUUUUGCAUUUAUGUACAUGGCUGUAAAUUACAUGCAUUUACUCUGUAUUUAUGUUAACUAGCUUUUAUUUGAAUUGUUAAAAUUCAAAAAUAAAACGUGCUGAUGAAAAUAGUGGUGAUUUUUUUCUGUAGUGUAUUUUAAUAAUUUGGCUUAGGAUUAUGUAUAGAACAAAAGAGCAUUAUGAUGCUCAUUGGUCCAUUGAUACAGUAAACCUUUUUUUUUUUUUUUGAGAUUGGGAAGGGGGGCUUGCAUCUACUAGACCUAGUGGUAGCUCUAGAAAUCAAAGGUCAAAUCUAAUCAAAAGAUCUACCCACUUUACAUUUUGUCUGUUUCAUUUAAUUUUUUAAGUUUUCCUGAAUUGUAACUAGUAUCAAACAUUACCCGGUUUGUGAGGUGAGGAGACCAGGACAGAUUUGUCUUGUUCCAAUUUCUCAAAGUUAACAUAAAGCUGAAAUCGUUUGGUCUACUAACAGUACUCUUUCCACUAAACACUGAAAUUGUGGAUAGCACAAAGAGACUAGCAAAAUAGUGGUUGAGAUUGGUAUGGGUUAGUUCAAGAGUGUCCCAAGUUUAGGCAUGCAUGUAUGUUUAUUCAUUACUGAAUAUGAAGAGCUGUGAUAGAGGAAGGGAAUCGGUGAUUUCUUAAGGUUCAAGUGUGACAUCUUUACGACUGAUAAAAUUCAGACAAGCAAGAUGUAGUUAAAUGAUUUUUUCUUCAAUUUUGUUUAUUUUUCAGUGGUUUUUUUUAAUACUGUACAGACCAGCUGGCUACCUUAAUAAUAUGAAUGGAAUCAGUGCAGUAAUUUAAAUUCAUAGAAUUCUGUUACAAAGUAUUUUUAUGUGAUUUUCCCAACAACCUAUAGACUGAAUGAAUAGACAAAUGAUAUUUAGAGGAAUAAUAGAGCUGGGCUUUUUGACUUGAGUGUCCUGAAUAUUAAGUCCUGUUAUUUUUGUUUUACUCUACUAGGUUAUUUAUGGGAUGACACUGGAAGGGUUAAGAAAAACACCUCAUUUAAAGGAAAGAUCAUUCUCAUUCCUGAAAUUUUUGUGGAGUAGCUUAAUGGAGAUGGGGUUGAAUUGUGCUUUGGCUGAAGUUGAAAGCAUUUAUUCAAAAGGAUAAAUUUUUCGUGUAUUUCAUGGAGGUGGAAUAGCAUGAGUAAAGUCUGGGAAUUGGCUUAGAAUGAAACAUAUUGGGAAGUAAUGAGAAAUGGAACUGAGUAAAUUUGGACUAUAUGAACAGGUCUUAGAUCUGACCUGUGGAGCUUAGAUAUCCAUUCGGAGACUACUGCAGGACCACAGAAUUUUUUUUCCCAAAGCAUAGUUAAUAACAUCAUGGAAAUUUAGCGUUAACAAAUACUAGGUUCAGUAGGUCUUAUGUAACCUAUUUUCAGUUACACUACCUUUGAGCCUCAGUGAUUGCUGAAGGUGACCUGUGUUUUUGGGAAGUGUUACAGUGAUUGUUCAGAAAGAUCCAGAAAGUUUACAUGGAAAAGUUAGCAUUUUAACCAGACUUCGGUACAAGAAUAAAAUUUUGAUAGGCUGAUAUGGCGGGGGAGGCAUUCCUUACUGAACCAAACAUAAAGUGUUUUAGUAGUCCAAGUCAGGAGAAACUACCCUUUUUCUUUGAUUCCUAUCUCUUGGGAAUGGCCUCUAAAAGUAACUUUCUUCAGAUUAUGAAACUAGUGGUAGACCCAGAAUCCUAAACCAAGUCUCACUCAAAGGAGAUCAUCAUAUCCAACCUAAGAAAAUUUAGUACAAGACCCCUGUUUUAAACAGUUUGUGUAUAAAUUUUUGAAUGAAAAACUAAUUUACACUGUAAACUUCUACCUAAAACAAAAUUUUUUUUUAAAAAUCCCUGUUUUUCUGUUUCCCAGUCUGCUUCCAAAGCACCUCAUAAUUCCUCCUUGAGUCUUUCAUUGUCAGCUCUGAAUUUCAGCUUUCAAGAUUCUCCAGUAUAAUCGGUCUUCAUUGUAUAAAUCCAAGGUUCUGCAAUAUGGUUGAUCUCCAUUGUAUGAAUUUAGUGGCCUCACUAUGUAAAAAAAACAUUAAUGGUUAUUUGAUCUAUACCUUUCUAGGUUGUGUGCUGAUUUUUGGUUUCUUUUGUCCCCCCAUCCUUACCCCCAAUAAAUGUGGUGUUAGAGCAACUGGACAUCAAUAUAAAUAAAAAUGAACCUUGACCUCACCAUACACAAAACAUGGAUGAUAGGUAAAAUUAAAAUUGAAAACAAUAUCUUUACAACUUAGGGGUAGAGUUCACAAAAAGCACCAUAAAUUUUUUUUAAAUGAUAAAUACAACAUUAAAAGUAUUCAUAAUACAGCUGUCUGACAAUACGUAAUGAACUAAAAAAUAGGCAAAGGCUUAACAGGCACUUCGCAAAGGGAGAGAAUAAACACAUGAAAAGAUGCUUAACGUGAUUACUAAUACAAAUAACCAAAAUGAGAUACCACUGUGUACCCAGUAGAAUGACCAGUAAACUAACAAUACCAGGAAUGUGAAAACAACUGAAACUCUCAUACAUUGCUCUUGGGAGUGUAAAGUAGUAAACUACUGUGGAAAACUGCAGUUUCUAAGAAAAGUUACAACUACAUCCACCCUAUAACUAGAAUUUUUACUCAAGGAUAUUUUCCCAAGAGAAAUAAAUACGCCCACAAAUGCUUAUAGCAGCUUUCUUAAAUAAAGCUUAUCAAGAGAAGAUAAAUUGUGGUAUAUUCAUACAGUAGAAGAAAACAACAAAAAAAAUCAAACCAUGAAUAUAUGAAGUAACAUGGAUGAGUAUCAAAAACGUUAAAUGAAAGCAGCCAGGCACAAAAUUACAUAUACUCUCAUUCCACUUAUAUGAAGGUCGAGAACAGGCAAAACAAGUCUGGUGAUAGAAGUCAAAAUAGUGGUUACCUGCCGUAGGGACCUGGAGGAAGGAGAUUUGGCUAACAAGGGGCAUUGCAGAACUAUCUGGAGUAAUGUAAAUUUUCCAUCUGUUGUUCUGGGUAAAACAGGUGUGUACAUGAGUGAAAAUUUACUAGCUGUACAUUUAAGAUUUGUCCACUUUUAAACAUAUUUUUAAAAAUCCAAUAAUGCAAAAUACAAACUUAAAUUCUUGAGUAAAAGAAGAAAUAUAAGUGAAAGCUACAGAAUAAAACCCAUAAAGACCAGAUUACUGGAAUUAAUCACAGUACAGUUUAUAAAAUUAGCAUGCUUAAGAUUUCAAAAAUUGAGGUUUUAAAAAUAAUCUUUCUGGCAUAUGAGUUAGUAGGAACUCGGAGCAACUUGUCUACUCCAGCAGAACUAAAUCUCAGAUACAACAUCCAUUUUGAGGCAUUGCUCCCAAAAAGUAGAUUCCUCAGGAAUUUUUCCCCUCCCUCUUCACCGCUGCAUACACAAAGCCAAACAAUUAGAAAUGAAUUUGGAGUGGACAGGGUCGAGAGUGGGGCUCAGGCUUAAGUGACCAAGGGCAAUCGUGUAUCUGGGAUCUGGAGCGGAAGAGAAGGAGUGUCAGAGCAGGCUGGUGUACUCCAGGGGUGCUCCCUGGAUCCAGUAGAAGCAGAAUCAAAUCUAUGAAGGAAAACUUCCCCAAACUAGGUCCACAGAACUCACAGCAUUAUCUGAUGAAGAUAAUUAAACAUGUAAGGCCAGACACUAUGACUGCAGAAACAUGGGAACAACAGAUUUACGUACACCUCAAGGACUGAGGGUGUUGGAACUGUCAGAUACACUGAAUAUCUGUGAUUACAAAAAUGAGCAUGCAACAAGAAACCAUCAGGAAUACACAAACUUUAAAAAUUGACAGUAAAAAUGAAUAGUGUCUGAAAUCAAGAAUUCAGUGGAUAAGUUAAAAGUGGUCUAAAACCAAAAACCAAACCCACUGUGAUCGAGUCAGU